rnacentral:tRNA from 1 species
UGAUGUAGCUUAGUGAUAGAGCACAUGCUUAGCAUGCAUGAGCUACUGGGUUCAAGCCCCAGCAUCA